rnacentral:rRNA from 1 species
ACUGUCUCAACCAUGAGCUCGGUGAAAUUGUAAUCCCGGUGAAGAUGCCGGGUACCCGCAACGGGACGAAAAGACCCCGUGCACCUUUACUAUAGCUUCACAUUGACAUUGGGAUAAUGAUGUGUAGGAUAGGUGGGAGACUCUGAAGCUGCGCCGCCAGGCGUGGUGGAGUCGUUGGUGAAAUACCACCCUUUAUUCUUCUGAUGCCUAAUCCGCCAGCUGGCGGAGACAGUGUGUGGUGGGUAGUUUGACUGGGGUGGUCGCCUCCUAAAGAGUAACGGAGGCUUCUAAAGGUACCCUCAGCACGCUUGGUAACCGUGCGUAGAGUGCAAUGGCAUAAGGGUGCUUGACUGAGAGACAUACAGGUCGAUCAGGUUGGAAACAAGAGCAUAGUGAUCCGGUGGUUCCGCAUGGAA